rnacentral:rRNA from 1 species
UAANCAUCGCCUCUUGAUAAAACAUAAGAGGUCCAGCCUGCCCAGUGACUUAGUUCAACGGCCGCGGUAUUCUGACCGUGCGAAGGUAGCAUAAUCACUUGUUUCUUAAAUAGAGACUAGUAUGAAUGGCACCACGAGGGCUCAACUGUCUCCUUUCUCUAAUCAGUGAAACUGAUCUCCUUGUGAAGAAGCAAGGAUCAAAAUAUAAGACGAGAAGACCCCAUGGAGCUUUAAACCCAAUGGCAACCCCCAACUCCCUACCUCAUCUUAGUUGUUCCAGUCCUGUCCAUUGGUUUUAGGUUGGGGUGACCGCGGAGUAUAAUUGACCCUCCACGAUGAAUGGGGCUACCCCCCUAACCCAAGAGCCACUCCUCUAAGAAUCAAUAAAUUGACAUAAAAUGAUCCAAUCAUUUGAUCAACGAACCAAGUUACCCUGGGGAUAACAGCGCAAUCCAUUUUAAGAGCUCCUAUCGACAAAUGGGUUUACGACCUCGAUGUUGGAUCAGGGUAUCCUAGUGGUGCAGCCGCUACUAAAGGUUUGUUUGUUCAACAAUUAAAACCCUACGUGAU